rnacentral:rRNA from 1 species
UACGUAGGGUGCGAGCGUUAAUCGGAAUUACUGGGCGUAAAGCGUGCGCAGGCGGUUGUGCAAGACAGAUGUGAAAUCCCCGGGCUUAACCUGGGAACUGCAUUUGUGACUGCACGGCUAGAAUCUGGCAGAGGGGGGUAGAAUUCCAUGUGUAGCAGUGAAAUGCGUAGAUAUGUGGAGGAAUACCGAUGGCGAAGGCAGCCCCCUGGGCUAAGAUUGACGCUCAUGCACGAAAGCGUGGGGAGCAAACAGG